AACGAACGCUGGCGGCAUGCCUAACACAUGCAAGUCGAACGAGACCUUCGGGUCUAGUGGCGCACGGGUGCGUAACGCGUGGGAACCUGCCCUUAGGUUCGGAAUAACUCCCCGAAAGGGGUGCUAAUACCGGAUAAUGUCUUCGGACCAAAGAUUUAUCGCCUUUGGAUGGGCCCGCGUUGGUUUAGCUAGUUGGUAGUGUAAAAGCCUGCCAAGGCGACGAUCCAUAGCUGGUCUGAGAGGAUGAUCAGCCACACUGGGACUGAGACACGGCCCAGACUCCUACGGGGAGCAGCAGUGGGGAAUAUUGGACAAUGGGCGAAAGCCUGAUCCAGCAAUGCCGCGUGAGUGAUGAAGGCCUUAGGGUUGUAAAGCUCUUUUACCCGGGAUGAUAAUGACAGUACCGGGAGAAUAAGCUCCGGCUAACUCCGUG
rnacentral:rRNA from 1 species